UUAUGUUUCUUUAUUAUUAAAAUUGAUGAUAAAUUUAUUAUGUAUCUCUAUUGAAGUAUAUAAUUAUUUUAUCUAUAUAUUCAUCCUGUGUAGAGGUAACUUAUGUAUAGUGAUUAAUUUCUGGAACAUUCAAAUCAGCAUCAGCCACAAUGUAAAUAUUUAUGACCCCUCAAGUGGAACCAACUGUUUUCAUAAACACCAAAGUUAAACUCACCUAUCUGAUAUAAGAGAAUAGAAAGAGGUAAAGUAGGUUUACAACCUACUAUAUUACACUGUAGUUCCCAAGUAACUUAAUACCCUUGCAGAACAAAUCACAGGUCAGAACACUCCUUCCAGGCGGGUCAUUUAAACAGAAAGCAUUGAAAUAUAAUGUUUAUAAGUGACUAACUGCUUAAAAGUUAUAACUUGAAAAAUUAUGUUUGAGCAUUGAAUAUUAUAUCAAAUGAGUUUAAACUGGACAAAUUUACAAAAGUUUUCUGGAAAUAUGAACUUUUAAACAUGUGUAUUUCAUGAUUCAGUGAAAAUGGAGGGAACUACAUGUAUAUCAUUGUAUAUAUAACCAUUUCUAACAGUUGCAAACUUUCAAGUCUUGGAGUCACAUGAGAUGUUUCCUCUCAAGGAUAUCAGAUCAGGGAAAAUGAAUAAAUGUACUGUUGAAUACAGAAUGCUUACAGAACUAUCCUGUAUCCAUCAGAGAGGUCACACCACAAGUCAAGAAGAUGUUGUAUCAUGCGAAGUGAAGGAUAUAUACAUGUGUUCUAGAUGGAUGUUAAAUUACAUUUGUUUGAAUAAAACACUCUGACUUCAAAAUAAUUAUGAAAUGUGCAAAUUACUAUAAGUGUUUGAAUUCUUGAUGACUAGAGUGCUUUUUUGGAUAUGCUAAUAAAAACAUUUAAAUGCAAAUUAAAAGGUCAUUUAAUUUUAUUAUGCAACCAUCAUUUCAGUAAUCCCAAAAUGUUCCAGAGUGAAUUCCAUAGUAUUUCCAGAAUUAUUUCAAGGCUAAUGGCAUCUUACCCCAUAUCCUAUUUUUAACUGCGGAACUUUUUCCACAGCGGCUCCGGAACAUUUUCCAGAGUAACUCCGGAACAUUUUCCAGAGUAACUCCGGAACAUUUUCCAGAGUAACUCCGGAACAUUUUCCAGAGUCACUCUGGAACAUUUUUUCCGGAGUAGAAUGUCAUUUUAGCAGAACAAUUUCCAGAGUUGCUUUGAAGACUCCAGAACAUUUUCAUGGAAAACUCCGGAAAAGUUUUAUAAAAAAGCUCUGGAAAUUCAUGAAGAAAGUACAUGAAAAUUCACGAUUUUUUUUUCAGUUUUCUUUGAACAACUCCGGAAAACUAGUCCGAAUUAUCCAGAGUUGGCAAUUUCCAUGAAAAUUCCGGAAGUUUUCAUGGAAAUUCAUGGAAAAUGUACGGACGGGUAU